rnacentral:rRNA from 1 species
GACGAACGCUGGCGGCGUGCCUAAUACAUGCAAGUCGAACGCAGUGGGGACGGGUGAGUAACAAGUGGGUAACCUCCCAUCAGAGGGGAUAACACUUGGAAACAGGUGCUAAACCGAUACUGAUGGAUGGACCUGCGGUGCAUUAGCGAGGUGGUGAGGUAACGGCCCACCAAGGCCACGAUGCCUAGCCGGGCUGAGAGGUUGAGCGGCCACACGGGAACUGAGACACGGCCCAGACUCCGACGGGAGGCAGCAGGGGGGAAUCGUCGGCAAUGGACGAAAGUCUGACCGAGCAACGCCGCGUGAGUGAAGAAGGUUUUCGGAUCGUAAAACUCUGUUGUUAGAGAAGCGGUAUCUAAACAGAAAGCCACGGCUAACUACGUGCCAGCAGCCGCGGUAAUUC